rnacentral:rRNA from 1 species
GGCGAACGCUGGCGGCAGGCCUAACACAUGCAAGUCGAACGAACUCUUCGGAGUUAGUGGCGGACGGGUGAGUAACACGUGGGAACGUGCCUUUAGGUUCGGAAUAACUCAGGGAAACUUGAGCUAAUACCGGAUGUGCCCUUCGGGGGAAAGAUUUAUCGCCUUUAGAGCGGCCCGCGUCUGAUUAGCUAGUUGGUGAGGUAAAGGCUCACCAAGGCGACGAUCAGUAGCUGGUCUGAGAGGAUGAUCAGCCACAUUGGGACUGAGACACGGCCCAAACUCCUACGGGAGGCAGCAGUGGGGAAUCUUGCGCAAUGGGCGAAAGCCUGACGCAGCCAUGCCGCGUGAAUGAUGAAGGUCUUAGGAUUGUAAAAUUCUUUCACCGGGGACGAUAAUGACGGUACCCGGAGAAGAAGCCCCGGCUAACUUCGUG